rnacentral:rRNA from 1 species
CAGUCGCCGCGGGAACACGAACCGUGCGAACGUUAUUCGGAAUCACUGGGCUUAAAGCGCGUGUAGGCGGGCCGCCACGUCGGCUGCUGAAAUCCCCCGGCUCAACCGGGGAACGGGCACCGAUACGGGCGGUCUCGAGGGGGGUAGGGGGGUCUGGAACUUCCGGUGGAGCGGUGAAAUGCGUUGAGAUCGGAAGGAACGCCCGUGGCGAAAGCGAGGCCUUGGACCCUUUCUGACGCUGAGACGCGAAAGCCAGGGGAGCGAACGGGAUUAGAUACCCCUGUAGUCCCUGUCUCUUAUA